rnacentral:rRNA from 1 species
GACGAACGCUGGCGGCGUGCCUAAUACAUGCAAGUCGAGCGCAGGAAGUCGACGGAACCCUUCGGGGGGAAGUCGACGGAAUGAGCGGCGGACGGGUGAGUAACACGUAAAGAACCUGCCCUCAGGUCUGGGAUAACCACGAGAAAUCGGGGCUAAUACCGGAUGGGUCAUCGGACCGCAUGGUCCGAGGAUGAAAGGCGCUCCGGCGUCGCCUGGGGAUGGCUUUGCGGUGCAUUAGCUAGUUGGUGGGGUAAUGGCCCACCAAGGGGACGAUGAAGAACCUACCGGAGAGGGUGAUCGGCCACACUGGGACUGAGACACGGCCACGACUCCUACGGGAGGCAGCAGUAGGGAAUCUUCCACAAUGGACGAAAGUCUGAUGGAGCAACGCCGCGUGAACGAUGAAGGCCUUCGGGUCGUAAAGUUCUGUUGUAAGGGAGGAACAAGUGCCGCAGGCAAUGGCGGCACCUUGACGGUACCUUGCGAGAAAGCCACGGCUAACUACGUGCCAGCAGCCGCCGAAAGA